rnacentral:lncRNA from 1 species
GCAAUUGCUUUUGAGGACUUAGCCAGCGUUCUUUGCCAACGCCAACGUCAAGAAGACGUUGUCUUCCAGGAUGUUUAUAGUUUGACGUCUUGCAUUUGAGUCUUUAAUCCAUCUAGAGUUGAUUUUCGUCUAUGCGGAAGGGUAAGAGUCCAGUUUCCUUCUUCUGCCUGUGACUGAGCUGCUUAUCCCAGCACCAUCUAUCGGACAGGGAGUCCUUUCCCCGCGGCUUGUUUUCGUUGGUCUUGUCAAAGACCAGACGGGUGUAUGUGUGCAGCUUCAUGUCUGAGUUUUCUAUUCUGUUCUAUAUGAUAAUGAAACCAAAUCAAUGUCUCUGCUCAGACCCCUUCUGACAAGGUCUGUGGCGCCCACCAUGGCGUUAGGGCCACAGCCUCCUGCCCCAUGUGCCAGGCCCGGCUCUGCCCAGCUCCCUGCAGCUGCGCCAGUGUGUGCUGUGACUCGUGCUCCUGGUUUGUCAUCUGCCUCUCAGUAGACACCACGGCCUUCAAGCUUUCUCCGCUCCGUGACCAGCAGCUGGGACGGGACCAGCAGUGCAUGCGGCUCUGGAUUCAUGUUUGUUGAAUGACUGACUGAACGGAGGCUCCCUUACAGAAGUGAACGGCGCGGCCCUCCCUGAGUUCCGGCCUGGCUCUGGAUACCAAGGAGCAAGCCACACUGGGCAUCCCACCCCAGGGAUCCAGGAAGGGGGCGUGUCGGCCGAGUGCGAGCCCGUUUCUGAACACCCUGUGAAGUUGGUGAGAAUUCAGGUGCCUAUCGGCCGGGCUCCACCUGUGCACCAGGUGUGGCCGCCUCACUGUGACUUCAAAGGUCCCCGGGGAGGAAGGAGGCUCCCAGCUGCACACAGCCACAGUCUAGUCCUAGCAGCAGUGACCUUGGUUUGGAGCCCGGGUUGGGGACCCCAGUGAUGCCAAUUUUCUUUGCCCUCAUCAUCCCAAGGCGGCUGCUGCAGUUUCAGACAUCACAACUUUGUUCAGCGCAAAGGAGAAGGGGGACAGGGGAUGAGAAAACUGGAGUUCGGAGAUGGGCUUGCUCACGGCCUCACAGCCAGGGAGCCUGCUCACCCCAGUGUGUGCCCAGCCAGAAACCUGCGUCUGGGCCCCCAGAGGCUGGGCUCCUCACAGUGGGGACCCACCAUGUCCACUGCCUGCAGGAACCGACAGAGAGGCUGUGAUGCUGAGCCCCGGCCUCAUGCAACAAAGCUUUGCCCGACGGAAUGCACCCAGCGGCAGUGGAGAGCAGUGCUGGAUCCUGCGGGGUUGAGGCGGUGGAGCUUGGCCGUACAUGAAGUGUAGUGCCAGGAUCUGCUUCUGAUGAGGCCUCAGGAAGCUUCCAGUUGUGGUGGAAGGUUCAAGCAAUUCUCCUGCCUCAGCCUCCCAAGCAGCUGGGAUAACAGGAUGACCCACGCCAUUCAGGAAGGACCCACUCCUGUGAUCCAAACACCUCCUACCAGCCCCCACCUCCAGCACUGGUGAUUACAUUUCAACAUGAGAUCUGUGGGGACAAACAUCUAAACCAUAUCGAGUGGGCUCAGGAGGCAGCAGCCCUGGAAGAUGCCGAGUGCCUGGGAGGACAGAGGAAGAUGCCGGAGUUCACGGGUGCCAUGUGCAGGUGCAGCUCCUGCCAGGCGGCUGAAGAUGGGGCUCCAGGUGGUGGCAGUGCCCCAGCCCCACCAGUCCUUCCUGGGGAGAGGGUCACGGCUCAGUGGCUGAAGGGCUGGGGGGCUUGUCUGAAAGGAGUGAAUGCCUGCCCAUCAGGCACUUUCGGAAAAAGCUGGAAACCAAGAUUUCCCUGAGAAGUCCUGGGCUUUCUGGUGUUGGGAACUAUAGGAAGCAGCCGGCUUCUGCUUCCCCUCCAGGGUCCAGGAGAGAAUUUGUUUUGGACAAACCUUCUAGGCCACAUGCUUGGAGCACCUCUGACCUCACCCAGUGCCAUGCCCCCCAGCUGAGGCCCGGCCCCUGCAUGUGUUCAGGGAUGUGAGGUCAGGGAGUGGUUCAGGGAUGUGAGGCCUAGCACUGGUCCGCAGGCCUCUGGGAGCCCUCUGGGCCCCUUGCAGAGCGGGGCAGCACUUGGCUGAGGACUGCGAGGGCUGAGCUGUCCUGACCCAGUCCUGGGAUAGCAGAGCCGCCCACCCUGCCUGGGGGCUCCUGGGUGUCUCCUGCAGCCACGCCACUUGUAGCUGGGUUCUGUCCUGGGACAGCAGAGACACCCAGCCUGUCUCAGGUCUCCAGGGCGUCUCCUGCAGCCACGCCACUUGUAGCUGGGCUCUGUGCUUGUUGUCAGUGCAGCCCCAGCAGCCCAGAGCGGUUCACAAGCUCCCAGACCGAUUUACCUGCUCCAGUGAAACUCCUAUGAGGGCACUGAAACUUCCCAUUAUUACAGGGCUCCGGCCCACAGCCAUGGGGAUGCCCCUUCCCACACCAGCUCCUGCAACUGGAAGGCUGUGGGCCACUCACUCUGAAGCCUCCCCUUUCCAGACACAAGGGCAGGAGUCAAGGGCAGUGGCAACAUCCCCCAGAGAUGCCGAUGGACGGUGUUUCAACCUAAAUCGGACAGCCGCACUCCCUCCCUGGCCACACAGCAGGACAGAGACCAGGACACAGCGGCCCACCCGCUGCCCUCACACUCCCCUCCUCCACGGUGUGAACUAAACCGCACACGUGGCCUGUUACUCGGACAAGGUGGGAAGGUGUGGCCCCACCCCCUCCUAAGACAUUACGAUGCGGAGAACCCCCAAGCCCACCCUCAACUGUGUUCACUGGAAACAGCCCAGCAAGGGCUACGUGUGCCUUCCGGUUUCACAUUUGGGAAGUGGGUAAAAUGCAGUAUUGACAGUUCUCAAAUAUUGGUGUUGAUCUUAACUGCUAGAGAUACCGUGAGGGAAAAGAGCGCUUUUGUUCAACGUUUAUGAAUGGAUAAAGGAGGAACUGAAACCAGCAAAGGGGCGGCUGGCCCUGGACCAGACGCGGCUUCGCCGAGGAGCUGUGGGCAGGGUGGGCCGGCACCUCCUUUCCUCUCGAGAAGGAUGUGGAGAGCAGGUGGCUCGUGCCACCUGCCUCCCUGGCCCUCGUCCAUGCCUCUGCACUGACCGCUGGGCUCCUGCCGCCCGGGGAUGUGGGGAAAGGCCUUGGAGUGGGAUGGAGGUCCGCGUGUGGGUGUGUGGCAGGUACCGGUGGAUUGAGGUCCAUGUGUGGGUGUGAACCUGGGUGUGAGACUGUGUGUGGGUGGGUGUGUACGUGAGUGUGCAUGUGCACGUACACCUGUGUAUGUAUGCGUGUGAGGUGUGUGAACUGUGAGUGUGCUGUGGCUGUGAGCGUGUGCACACGUGAACUGAGCGUGACAGUGCGAAUGUGUGUGCCGCGAAUUCCACUGGCCACAUGAAUGCAGGCGAGGCCGCUCCGCUAGGCUGUGGAUUUCCAGCAUGGCCACGCUGGUUGCCUGUGUUGUCUUGUUGACACAGGAUGGAGAAAGAACGAUGCAGGAUGCAUCUCUGAGCCUGGCUCAGGCACCCAGAGGGAGCUGGGUUUGGGAGCAGCUGCUCUGCGUAGCCCUGGCUUGGAUGCUGCGAGCCAGGUUUAGGGAUGCCAGUGAGACCCGCUGAAGCGUUGGGGCCCUACCCGAGGUGAGGCGUGCCCAGGUCUGGGGACUCCUGUCUUGGGGCCCCUCCCAGGAGAACCACCCCCCUCCUCUGGCAGGAAGCCCCCAAAGCUGUGGAGGAGCCCUGGGCCCACAGACAGCAUCCCUGCUGCUGGGGACCCCAGGCCUGUGCGGGUGCCGCUGCCAUGGGGCUGAUGGGGCCCAGCCCAGCAGCCCCUGCCUUUGCUUUCCCGGCUUCUCUGCGGCUCUGUGCUUUUGCUGCCCCAUUCCAGGCCGGAAGGCUCCCGCGCCUCCAUGGAUCUUCAUGAUUUGGCCAACCAGAGUGAGCACCGUGAGGAAGUGGAGACAGACACAACUUUCAGCAGCAGAAGACAGGAUAAUAAAGUUGGGUUUGGUUUAUGAUCUAACGUGACCAUUAAAAGUGUUUAAUAAACAACGUUAAAGACUACUUAGUGGCAGAUGCAUCCGGCAAUGCUUAGCAUAGCCUCAUGACUGUCAAUACGCACAGGCUUGAAAAACACCUGCAGGAUACAUGUGGGCAUGUUAGUGUGGGUUAUCUCAGCAGGGCGGCAUAUCGAAUCUCGGUGCCCUUCUGUAGUGUCUAUAUUUUCUACAGUGAAGCUGGGAUACUUUGGUGAGCAGAGGCAUUGUUUUCAAAGUUCCCAUUGGUACUUCCAUCACAUCCCCGUGUGGUUCUGUCCUGGACCGGCUGCCCACUGAGGUCCCACUCGCCCCUACCCUGCCCUGUCUGGCCAGCUGGGUACCUGCCCAGGAGGAAGAGGCUCAGUGUUUGGGGCCUGUGUUAUGCCCUGAAAAGCCACUGCUGUUGGGUGAGGGCCCAUGAGGCCUUCAGUUUGCCAUCGUCAUGUGCUUCUGAAGAGCCAGGAUGCUGUCCACUGUUUGUCUCCUGGCGGGACAGAAUUCCACUCAGUGCAUAUCAGGGGCAGUGAUGGGGCUGGGGGUGUGAGGGCUCAGCUGUGCCCUGAACUCCUUCACAGUCUUGCAGGAGGGGUCAUGGAGCCAUAUCUGGGUUUGCAAUUUUUGGAAAGUUACGUGACGAUCUGCACUCAGGAAUGCUGAGUGUUCGGCAGGCCCCAUGAACAGUGAUCAAAUGUGACGCUGUGUGUCCCACAGCCUAAGGGCUGUGGCAGAGACCAGGAGGGCCAUCAGCUCCCACAGCUUUCGAGUCCACCUCAGGGCUCCUCCUUGCUGACCUCCCUGGGUUGUCAGUGGAGACAGCCACCCUCCCACAGAGCACCUGCCUGAAAUGGGCCAGGCCGCCCCUGUGCCCUGGCUCUUGCUGCACAUGCUGAGGUCAGCACGGAGGCGCCCUCGGGCACCAGCAUGCCCUCGGGUUUGCAGCUUGUCAAAUAUCCCAUGAAGGCAACCUGACCAAAUGUGCUCUAACACCACUGGACCAAUGGAACGUCUUGGGCUGAACAGAUGCAGCCUUGCAUCCACCGCCUGCCACCACCCUCUGUGUACACCCCCUGCACACACCUCUGCACACACCCCCCCUGCACACUGUUGCACAUACCCCCUGCACACAGCCUGUGUACACUCCCUGCACAGAUCCCCUGCACACAACUCCCUCACACAUCCUCUGCACAAACCCUGUGUAUACCCCCUGCACACACCUCUACACAUACCUUCACACACCAUGUAUACCUCCUGCACACACCUCUGCACACACCUCCUGCACACACCUUGUGUACACUCCCUGCACACUGUUGCACACACCCCCUGCACAUAGCCUCUGCACACAGCCUGUGUACACUCCCUGCACAGAUCCCCUGCACACACCUCCCACACACAUCCUCUGCACAAACCCUGUGUAUACCUCCUGCACACACAUCUACACACACCUCCUGCACACACCUUGUGUACACCCCCUGCACACUGUUGCACACACC